ACGAACGCUGGCGGCGUGCCUAAUACAUGCAAGUAGAACGCUGAAGGAGGAGCUUGCUUCUCCGGAUGAGUUGCGAACGGGUGAGUAACGCGUAGGUAACCUGCCCGGUAGCGGGGGAUAACUAUUGGAAACGAUAGCUAAUACCGCAUAAGAGUAGAUGUUGCAUGACAUUUGCUUAAAAGGUGCAAUUGCAUCACUACCAGAUGGACCUGCGUUGUAUUAGCUAGUUGGUGAGGUAACGGCUCACCAAGGCGACGAUACAUAGCCGACCUGAGAGGGUGAUCGGCCACACUGGGACUGAGACACGGCCCAGACUCCUACGGGAGGCAGCAGUAGGGAAUCUUCGGCAAUGGACGGAAGUCUGACCGAGCAACGCCGCGUGAGUGAAGAAGGUUUUCGGAUCGUAAAGCUCUGUUGUAAGAGAAGAACGAGUGUGAGAGUGGAAAGUUCACACUGUGACGAUAUCUUACCAGAAAGGGACGGCUAACUACGUG
rnacentral:rRNA from 1 species